rnacentral:rRNA from 1 species
UACAGAGGUCUCAAGCGUUGUUCGGAUUCAUUGGGCGUAAAGGGUGCGUAGGCGGCGCGGUAAGUCGGGUGUGAAAUCUCGGAGCUUAACUCCGAAACUGCAUUCGAUACUGCCGGGCUUGAGGACUGGAGAGGAGACUGGAAUUUACGGUGUAGCGGUGAAAUGCGUAGAUAUCGUAAGGAAGACCAGUGGCGAAGGCGGGUUUCUGGACAGUUCCUGACGCUGAGGCACGAAGGUCAGGGGAGCAAACGGG